GGAGGAUUAACACAGUGGCUCAACACCGGGAAGGAACUGGCUCUUGGAGUCCGGACAUCUGAAACUUGAUCUAGAGAACACAUGCAAAUUUGUUACAUGGGAAUAUUGUGUAGUGCUGAGGUCUGGAGUAUGGAUUCCAUCACCCAGGACUGUGAAUGCAACCCAUGAAAAAGAGGGUUUUCGGAAGCUUGACAUUUAUGAGGGUGAGGAAUUAACAAGCCAACAUCAGUCUCCAGAGUGAAUCCAAGGAGAGGACCCAAGACAUUCAUGUUCUGUGAUGUGGUGACAUGUUACCUGUCAUCUCUGAUGCACAACUCCUAAAGUGUUUGCAUCUGGGGCAGUUGUACAGAUUGCAGAAGCUAAUACUCAAGAUGUUCUCCAAGGCCAACUACUCAUCAGUUUAUUCAUGUUUCUGGGAUUGGAUUCAUGAACUCAUCCUUUGAACUAUUUCAACAAGCUUUUUCAUGUAACUAAUCUGCGGAAGGUAGAAAGGGUAAAACUGUUGGGUGCUAAAAUGACAACUGGUUCAAGGAGGAGCAUCAGAUAAUUAGGCAGCAGUCCAACAAUUAGGUUUUGUGGAACUUUUACUAUGUCAUCUAUUUAUUGGAAUUCCCCCUGGAUACCAGGACCCCCUCCAGCAGAGCUUAAAGUUAUAGUGACAGGAAGUACAAAUUCCGUAUGUGGAUCCCUGGAAGUGUGAUGAGAGGAACCACUGUUUCCAAGAUCUAUUUAUUCUAUUUAUUAGGCCUAUAAAAUCAUGUAAUGACCAUGGCUUCAACUAGACUCU
rnacentral:lncRNA from 1 species